rnacentral:misc_RNA from 1 species
GUCAAUUAGAAAAUCAGAAAAUCUGCAAAGUUGAUGAAGGACAUCUUAGUCUUUUUGGUUGAGAGAUAUUCAAAUAGAAUCGAGCCAAGAUUCACACAAACGUAUGCUCAAAUGUGCAUGAUUGGAUUACAUCAUAUCCAUGUUCUAACUACUAUUUGGGCCUUAAAUAUACUUUUGGAAGAAAUUCUGAUGUACUACUAUUUAGAUAGAAUUUAAAACACAUAACACAUGCUUAGCAAUAGCAUGGCGUGGAUAAAAGUUCUCAAGGUCGCAUUAUAAAUGAAUUUGUUAUCACUAUAACAAAAUAACUCCCCAGACCUAAAUGUUAUAGGCAAGCUUGUCAAAUUCCUCAUAGUGUUGUUAAAGGCGCUCGGUGAGGUGCCAAGCAAGGUGAGGUGACCCUUUAGCACCUCACCUGGAUUGCAUGAGGCAAUCGCCCCAAAGAGAAUGCGCCAAGCAUGAGGCGACGCCUUUGUCAUUUAACGUUUACUUUUUUUUUUUAAUUUGUUUUUUACCCAGCAAAAGACUGAACGGUAGUUUCUUCAUGUAACACUUUUCAUCAUAAGGGAUUACAACAAAUUCGGAACUAAAUCUGCACUGAGACCUUAAUGCUCUCCUAAAACUUAGGCAAUCACACUAAAUUAGGCUACCUGUACAUAACAAAACUAUAUUGUUUUCUUUUCUUUUCUUUUUUUU